GCUGUGAAGUAGUCCGUGAAGCCAGCAAAGGACUGAAUGGCACCUGGACAGAGGCAAGGGGACACAGGGAGACAGAGAUGGACACAGAGACAAGGACACAGGAAGAAAGGCACAUGGAGAGACAGGGACGCAGGAACAGUGACAGACACAGAGCAGCAGAAACAGAAGCAGGGACAGAGCGAAAAAGA